rnacentral:rRNA from 1 species
UACAGAGGUCUCAAGCGUUGUUCGGAUUCAUUGGGCGUAAAGGGUGCGUAGGCGGCGCGGUAAGUCGGGUGUGAAAUCUCGGAGCUUAACUCCGAAACUGCAUUCGAUACUGCCGUGCUUGAGGACUGGAGAGGAGACUGGAAUUUACGGUGUAGCGGUGAAAUGCGUAGAUAUCAUUUGGAACGCCAAUGGUGAAAACAGGUUGCUGGGAGUGUGCUGACGCUGAGACACGAAAGCCAGGGGAGCGAACGGG